GAGAAGAACGUAGCGAAAUGCGAUAAGUAAUGUGAAUUGCAGAAUUCAGUGAAUCAUCGAAUCUUUGAACGCACCUUGCGCCCUUUGGCCAUUCCGAAGGGCAUGCCUGUUUGAGUAUCAUGAACACCUCAACUCUCAUGGCUCGCCAUGAUGAGCUUGGAUUUGGGGGUCUUGCUGGCCUGUGGUCGGCUCCUCUCAAAUGGAUCAGCUUGCCAGUGUUUGGUGGCAUCACAGGUGUGAUAACUAUCUGCGCUUGUGGUUUUCCAUCAGAUAACCUUCAGUGAUGGAGGUUCGCUGGAGCUCAUAAACGUCUCCCCUAAGCGGGGACAGCCCUUUGAAUGUUUGAUCUCAAAUCAGGUAGGACUACCCGCUGAACUUAAGCAUAUCAAUAAGCGGAGGA
rnacentral:misc_RNA from 1 species